AAUUUAAUAAACUGCAGUUCAAAAUCCAUUUCCCUUUCCUGUUCGCUCCGGGAUUAGCUGCUGGAUUAGCUCCUGGAUUAGCUGCUGGAUUAGCUCUUCGAUUAACAACUUGCUGGAGGCUAUUCAAAUUAGCCACACCGUGGGAUGUAAGGAGCUCUCUGAUUGGUUGGUCAGACACAGGCUGUCUGCCAGCCUGGAUUUUUCUAGCUCAUAGCUUCGCCCUGCUAAGAAGCCUGUGUGCUUGUACAAAGGCCGUUCAGCCUCGGGAUUUACACUCGGCUCGACACGGAUAUGUGAAGAAUGAAGGGACCCUGCAGCGAAACGGAGAGCGCAACCUCUGACUGAGUGCCUGUUUACGCAGUCUGACCACCUGUUGAAGGGCUGUUUGAUGACGAUUUGGACUCCUCCGGGAGAUGAGGACACACCCACAUCUGUUCCAUACUGCAGCCAUGGAUGGUGUUACGGCUCUGAGUCAGCUUUAGGCCAUCAGACGCACACACUGGAAAACCAGCACCUGGACUUCAUGCAGGAGAGACGGCCUCAGUGAUAAUUCAUCAGCAGCUGUGAAGAGAUGCAUUUGAAUAUCUUCUGGUUCCACUUUUCCUAACCUGGAAGCUGAGGAUGGCUGAUUCCUGACAAGGGCACACACCUCAGCCCUAUCAUGGGUGUUACAUCCUCCGUGCAGCAAUUCCAGAGAAAACGAGAGAGCAACGACCACUCAUUAAGACCAGACAGAAAUCUGUCCCUUUCUGGCAGCUGUGGAAACUUCCAAUAAGAAAGUUUGCAUUCUUAGAACAAUGCUGGGUCGUGUGUGAUGUGUCAUCAUAUGAGGAUAUUACAU